rnacentral:lncRNA from 1 species
GCAGCCUAAAAAAAAAUAUCAGUUCUUCAAUUAGGAUAUUGAUCUUCUUGAAGUGAAGUUGCCGUUGUUAACAGUAUAAUUGAAAAUUGGAUGUUUGUGAGACGAAACAGUGAAAACAGGUGCACUUUCCAAUAGGGAGGUCCAUAAGAGAAAUCGCUCUCCUUCCAGUCUGCGGGUGACUAGUGCCGACCACAAGAGAUCAGCAAUCUGCAAGCAAGAGUUGAGGAGGAAAAGGUCACA